UACCAGCACCCCGAGUGGUCGGGACGAUUAUUGUGCCUAAAGCAUCCGUAGCCGGUUCUGCAAGUCCCCCGUUAAAUCCAGCUGCUCAACAGAUGGGCCGCGGAGGAUACUACAGAGCUAGGAGGCAGGAGAGGCAAGCGGUACUCAGUGGGUAGGGGUAAAAUCCGUUGAUCCAUUGAAGACCACCAGUGGCGAAGGCGGCUUGCCAGAAUGCGCUCGACGGUGAGGGAUGAAAGCUGGGGGAGCAAACCGG
rnacentral:rRNA from 1 species